CUGAAAACCAUAAGUCACCCUGACAGAUAGCAGAGCUAGCGUUAGCUACUUGGUAGUGGAACAACACAUACGACCAAACUGAGAAAC